AGGCAUUACAGCUCGUCCUCGCGAAAUGCAUCUAGAUUAGAGUUUGAUCCUGGCUCAGACGAACGCUGGCGGCGUGCUUAACACAUGCAAGUCGAGCGGUAAGGCCCCUUCGGGGGUACACGAGCGGCGAACGGGCGAGUAACACGUGAGCAACCUACCCAUCACAUCGGGAUAACUCCGGGAAACCGGAGCUAAUACCGAAUACGACCACCUCAGGCAUCUGAUGGUGGUGGAAAGCUCCGGCGGUGAUGGAUGGGCUCGCGGCCUAUCAGCUUGUUGGUGGGGUAAUGGCCUACCAAGGCUUCGACGGGUAGCCGGCCUGAGAGGGUGACCGGCCACACUGGGACUGAGACACGGCCCAGACUCCUACGGGAGGCAGCAGUGGGGAAUAUUGGACAAUGGGCGAAAGCCUGAUCCAGCAACGCCGCGUGAGGGAUGACGGCCUUCGGGUUGUAAACCUCUUUCAGCAGGGACGAAGCGCAAGUGACGGUACCUGCAAAGAAGCACCGGCCAACUACGUGCCAGCAGCCGCGGUAAUACGUAGGGUGCGAGCGUUGUCCGGAAUUAUUGGGCGUAAAGGGCUCGUAGGCGGUCUGUCCCGUCGGGGGUGAAAACUCGGGCUUAACCCUGGACCUGCUUCCGAUACGGGAGACUAAGGUUGCAGGGAAAAUG
rnacentral:rRNA from 1 species